UCAGUCAGCGCAUCCAGACCAACAACAACCCCUUCCAAGGUGAGGGCAAACCUGCCUGCCACACCCGCACCCUCUGUCACCCUCCCCAGCCCGCCUUUCCUGCAUCUCCCUCACUGGCCAAGACACAGUAAAGCUGGAAUCUUGGUGCCCAUUCAGUACUCUCCCACUUUACCAUUGGGAAACUGAGUCCCAGGAGGGGACAUGACAUUCAGGCCACAGUGGAGUCAGUGCUGGGUUCUGCCUCCUCUAGGACUUGUGUUUCACACACGCACCAGCGGCCCUCCCAGCGCAGAGCUCCCUGCCCCCACUGAUAGCACCUAUAUCCCCACUUCCCCUGCUCUCCUGAUCGCCUGUUUUCUUGGCAGUUCCUAUAGAAGAGCAGCGUGGGGACUACGACCUGAAUGCUGUGCGGCUCUGCUUCCAGGUGACAGUGCGGGAACCAUCAGGCAGGCCCCUCCGCCUGCCGCCUGUCCUUUCUCAUCCCAUCUUUGACAAUCGUGCCCCCAACACUGCCGAGCUCAAGAUCUGCCGAGUGAACCGAAACUCUGGCA
rnacentral:sRNA from 1 species